GACGAACGCUGGCGGCGUGCUUAACACAUGCAAGUCGAACGGAAAGGCCCUGCUUUUGUGGGGUGCUCGAGUGGCGAACGGGUGAGUAACACGUGAGUAACCUGCCCUUGACUUUGGGAUAACUUCAGGAAACUGGGGCUAAUACCGGAUAGGAGCUCCUGCUGCAUGGUGGGGGUUGGAAAGUUUCGGCGGUUGGGGAUGGGCUCGCGGCUUAUCAGCUUGUUGGUGGGGUAGUGGCUUACCAAGGCUUUGACGGGUAGCCGGCCUGAGAGGGUGACCGGCCACAUUGGGACUGAGAUACGGCCCAGACUCCUACGGGAGGCAGCAGUGGGGAAUAUUGCAUAAUGGGCGGAAGCCUGAUGCAGCAACGCCGCGUGCGGGAUGACGGCCUUCGGGUUGUAAACCGCUUUCGCCUGUGACGAAGCGUGAGUGACGGUAAUGGGUAAAGAAGCACCGGCUAACUACGUG
rnacentral:rRNA from 1 species